UGGGGAAUAUUGGACAAUGGGCGCAAGCCUGAUCCAGCCAUGCCGCGUGAGUGAUGAAGGCCCUAGGGUUGUAAAGCCCUUUCACCGGUGAAGAUAACGACGGUAACCGGAGAAGAAGCCCCGGCUAACUUCGUGCCAGCAGCCGCGGUAAUACGAAGGGGGCUAGCGUUGUUCGGAUGUACUGGGCGUAAAGCGCACGUAGGCGGACUUUUAAGUCAGGGGUGAAAUCCCGGGGCUCAACCCCGAAACUGCCUUGGAUACUGGAAGUCUUGAGUAUGGUAGAGGAGAGUGAAAUUCCGGGUGUAGAGGUGAAAUUCGUGGAUAUACGAGGGAACACCAGUGGGGAAGGCGGCUCACUGGACAAUUACUGACGCUGAGGUGCGAAAGCGUGGGGAGCAAACAGG
rnacentral:rRNA from 1 species